UACGAAGGUCCCAAGCGUUGUUCGGAAUCACUGGGCGUAAAGGGAGCGUAGGCGGCGUGGUAAGUCAGAUGUGAAAUCCCGGGGCUCAACCCCGGAACUGCAUCCGAUACUGCCAUGCUAGAGGAUUGGAGAGGUAGCUGGAAUUCUUGGUGUAGCAGUGAAAUGCGUAGAGAUCAAGAGGAACACUCGUGGCGAAAGCGAGCUACUGGACAAUUACUGACGCUGAGGCUCGAAGGCUAGGGUAGCGAAAGGG
rnacentral:rRNA from 1 species